rnacentral:rRNA from 1 species
CCUACGGGUGGCAGCAGUGAGGAAUAUUGGUCAAUGGACGAGAGUCUGAACCAGCCAAGUCGCGUGAAGGAUGACUGCCCUAUGGAUUGAAAACUUCUUUUAUCUGGGAAUAACAUGUUCCACGUGUGGGAUUUUGUAUGUACCAUAUGAGUAAGGAUCGGCUAACUCCGUGCCAGCAGCCGCGGUAAUACGGAGGAUCCGAGCGUUAUCCGGAUUUAUUGGGUUUAAAGGGAGCGUAGGUGGAUUGUUAAGUCAGAUGUGAAAGUUUGCGGCUCAACCGUAAAAGUGCAGUUGAAACUGGCAGGCUUGAGUACAGUAGAGGUGAGCGGAAGUCCUGGUGUAGCGGUGAAAUGCGUAGAUAUCACGAAGAACUCCGAUGGCGAAGGCAGCUCACUGGACUGCAACUGACACUGAGGCUCGAAAGUGUGGGUAGCAAACAGGAUUAGAUACCCGUGUAGUC